GGAUUAGUAGGUCAGUUAUACCACUGGUAUGUACUGGUUCUACUGAUCCCUCCUUCUUGUAGAACUGUAAUGCUAUUAAUUUGGUGUUGCGGGGAAACAGGACUGUUACUUUGAAAAAAUUAGAGUGUUUAAAGCAGGCUAACGCUUGAAUACAUUAGUAUGGAAUAAUGAAAUAGGACGUUUGAUCCUAUUUUGUUGGUUUCUAGGAUUGACGUA
rnacentral:rRNA from 1 species